UACGUAGGGGGCUAGCGUUGUCCGGAAUCAUUGGGCGUAAAGAGCGUGUAGGCGGUCCGGUAAGUCUGCUGUGAAAGUCAAAGGCUCAACCUUUGAAUGUCAGUGGAUACUGCCGGGCUAGAGUCCGGAAGAGGCGAGUGGAACUCCUGGUGUAGCGGUGGAAUGCGCAGAUAUCAGGAAGAACACCAACGGCGAAGGCAGCUCGCUGGGACGGUACUGACGCUGAGACGCGAAAGCGUGGGGAGCGAACAGG
rnacentral:rRNA from 1 species